UUCCCCUAUUCUCUCUCUCGUUCCCUUCCCUGCCUCCAGUGUAACCCUAACUAACCCAGUAACAUUCUCGCGCAGCCGAGCCUCCUCUCUGUCUUUCUCAAACUCUCUGUCUCUCUUGGUUUUGAAUCCCAGGCGACCCGCGACGACGCGACCCUUCUCACUCUCAAUCUCUCACAGUGAAGCAGCUUUUGGUGGAGAAGCUGGCAGCGAGACGGAAACUGAAGUUCAAGAUAUACCUCCUCUGCAAAUUGUAAUGCUUAUCGUCGGCACACGAGGAGAUGUGCAGCCGUUUGUUGCCAUUGGAAAGCGAUUGCAGAGGCGAUGAGUGAAAAUAAAAUAUAGCUCUUCUUGGGAAGCUUAUCCCGGACUUUAUGUGAAUUGACGGAUAUGAAAAUAGUUCAAUUGGUGGAUAUGAAAAUAGUUCAAUUGGUGGAAGAUUGUUCAAGGACUCUCUAUUGACGAGUUCUCGAGGAAGAAGUUGGAUGCAACUGCAGAGGAGCUCAGUGAGGAGAAAGCUUUGGCAUACUCUUGCCUCUCUUAGAUGCUCUUGGCCUUUCCUUGGUGUGGUUGUAAGUUGGCCUCCCUGCAAUGUGUGAGAAAAGCAGCUGAAGUUUUGAAUAAUGCCAUUGUUAAGAUAGAUAUGUUAAUGAUGCAGAAGCUGCUUCUGUGGGUUUUACAGUUGUUGAGCCCAAUAUUCUAUUCGGACACUUCGACUUUUUUCUUCUUUUAGUUGCAUAUUUGAAUGGGAUUGUCCCAUUGACGUAAAAUAAUCCAUAUCUGCCUUGAUUCUAAUUUGUUAGUUCUUGUGCUUA